rnacentral:rRNA from 1 species
CCUACGGGUGGCAGCAGUGGGGAAUAUUGCACAAUGGGGGAAACCCUGAUGCAGCGACGCCGCGUGAAGGAAGAAGUAUUUAGGUAUGGAAACCUCUUUUAGCAGGGAAGAAAAUGACGGUACCCGACUAAGAAGCCCCGGCUAACUAAGUGAAAGCAGCAGCGGUAAUACGGAGGGGGCAAGCGUUAUCCGGAUGUACUGGGUGUAAAGGGAGCGUAGGCGGUGCAGCAAGUCAGAAGUGAAAGCCCGGGGCUCAACGCCGGGACUGCUGUUGAAACUGGUGAACUAGAGUGCAGGAGAGGUAGGUGGAAUGCGUGGUGUAGCGGUGAAAUGCGUAGAUAUUAGGAGGAACCCC